CAAGCAGUUAGCUUAUCUGUGUUCAUGAUGGUAACACCCUAAACAAAUACUUGCAAGGCUCUGAAAUUCAAAAAUUCAUCCUCCUACCUUAUAACCUAAGUAGCAGCGCAAUGCAGCCGUGAUUUCCAAGUAGUCAAUGGAUGAUAGGAGUAAUUCCCUAUCAGCAGUAAGCUGGAAAGUCCUGAUAAAGCCAUGUGUCUGGAGAUCAGGGCAUGCUGAGGCAGCAGGAAAGGCUUAGUCUGGCCAGACACAAGACACUUGCCUUUCAGAUCUACCAUAAAGAAAACCAGUACCUUGAGGAGGAAGUUCCCCUCCAGCCUGUGGGGGUUUUGCUGCUGGCCAGGCUGAAUGCGCGCCUGCUCUCCAGCACUUCCUCCUGGGAAUGCUUUUUGCAGAAGUAGAGGCUGGAGGGACCAGAUGCUGCAUAGACUUGUGUCCUCGGUCGUUCUGUUGUUUGGGUUGUUCUUCCAGGUCAGAGAAGUGGCAGCUGAAGUCUGAAUGUUUGACAGGUGGCAUUCUCUUGGCAGGAACUGUGUGAAGGCCAGCAGACACCACCGCUGCAGGCCCAGGAGGAGCCUCCGCGCUGUCGGCACCGUGGGCAUUUGAUGAGCAGGUCUUGGCCGAGCUGUUUGACUCGGCCUUGCACAUUGCUAGUGAGAGCGACUCUUCUAUUGACCCCAAUGAGAAAGGUUUUGGUCCUGGAGGGGCUGCC